rnacentral:lncRNA from 1 species
UGUGGGUCUCACCACUACACAUUGAUUUAGUGUUGAAAAGAGAGUGUUGUUUCAUAAAUGUGGUUUGUUGUUGCAAUGUUGUUUAGGUAAGUGUGCACGUUGGUUAUGUAUACCAUGUAUAAUAAUUGUCUUCUAGUAAGACAAUACUACUUUAUGAACUAUGUUGAAUUUGUUUAAGAUUUUUCGGGUUACAUUGAUGUGUUCCUAGAGUCUGGCCUACGGCUAUUUCAGCAUGAGUACCUUUAAUUUGUGUGUUCAAGUUUUGUUUGAAGAGGAGUGUGUU